AAAAAAUAAAAGAAAUUGACUACCCACUAAGUCAUAAAACCCGUCCAGUACCACUUCCUUCUUCCUUUCUUCUAUUCGCAGCGCCGCCUCUGUUCCUUUCUUCCUCAAGUCUGAAUUCUCCCCCACCAAAGAACCACUAAACCCCUCCAUUAAUCCACAGCCUUGAACCAAAUUACCAUUCGGCCAGUGAAGAGACUUUGGGUAUUAAUUUGAGUGUUAGGGAUUGGUGCUCCAAGGAAGGAGGAGUAGGGUAUUCAUCGGAUCAAGGUGACACCAUUGAUUCCAUUGAGAUUCGACGACGAUAGGGUCGUUCGGUGGUCGUAGGAUUGCUUUAUUGCUGGAAGCAAUUGUGGUUAUUCUUCAUAGUUCGCCGCCUCUGUUCCUUUCUUCCUCAAGUCUGAAUUCUCCCCCACCAAAGAACCACUAAACCCCUCCAUUAAUCCACAGCCUUGAACCAAAUUACCAUUCGGCCAGUGAAGAGACUUUGGGUAUUAAUUUGAGUGUUAGGGAUUGGUGCUCCAAGGAAGGAGGAGUAGGGUAUUCAUCGGAUCAAGGUGACACCAUUGAUUCCAUUGAGAUUCGACGGCGAUAGGGUCGUUCGGUGGUCGUAGGAUUGCUUUAUUGCUGGAAGCAAUUGUGGUUAUUCUUCAUAGUUAUUUUCAGGCAACUGAGUAGCAGACUGUUGUCAGAUUCAGACCAUUCGACUUAUUUCCUUUAGCAGGUUGUCAUAUUGGUGUCUUUUAUUUAAUCCUGGUUAUCUGCAGCUAUAGGGAGUCCUAGGUGGAUUUAGAUUUGGGAUUGUGAUUUAUUGUUAUAUUUUAAGAGUUGGCACUUGAGUGCUCGAGUUGAUUUUAUAUUUCACUUAAAAUGCUGGUUAUGGAAGAACUUAUUGGCAGAUGUUGUUAAUUUGUAACUAUUGGAAUUACAAAAGAGAUUCUAGUGCUUUUAUAUAUGUGUACAAAGACAUUUCGAAUAAAUUGUUUGGAAAAUGAUUCUAUGA